rnacentral:rRNA from 1 species
GACGAACGCUGGCGGCGUGCUUAACACAUGCAAGUCGAACGGAAAGGCCCUGCUUUUGUGGGGUGCUCGAGUGGCGAACGGGUGAGUAACACGUGAGUAACCUGCCCUUGACUUUGGGAUAACUUCAGGAAACUGGGGCGAAUACCGGAUAGGAGCUCCUGCUGCAUGGUGGGGGUUGGAAAGUUUCGGCGGUUGGGGAUGGACUCGCGGCUUAUCAGCUUGUUGGUGGGGUAGUGGCUUACCAAGGCUUUGACGGGUAGCCGGCCUGAGAGGGUGACCGGCCACAAUGGGACUACGAUACGGCCCAGACUCCUACGGGAGGCAGCAGUGGGGAAUAUUGCACAAUGGGCGGAAGCCUGAUGCAGCAACGCCGCGUGCGGGAUGACGGCCUUCGGGUUGUAAACCGCUUUCGCCUGUGACGAAGCGUGAGUGACGGUAAUGGGUAAAGAAGCACCGGCUAACUACGUG